rnacentral:rRNA from 1 species
UGGGGAAUAUUGGACAAUGGGCGAAAGCCUGAUCCAGCCAUGCCGCGUGUGUGAAGAAGGUCUUCGGAUUGUAAAGCACUUUAAGUUGGGAGGAAGGGCAGUAAGCGAAUACCUUGCUGUUUUGACGUUACCGACAGAAUAAGCACCGGCUAACUCUGUGCCAGCAGCCGCGGUAAUACAGAGGGUGCAAGCGUUAAUCGGAAUUACUGGGCGUAAAGCGCGCGUAGGUGGUUCGUUAAGUUGAAUGUGAAAGCCCCGGGCUCAACCUGGGAACUGCAUCCAAAACUGGCGAGCUAGAGUAGGGCAGAGGGUGGUGGAAUUUCCUGUGUGGCGGUGAAAUGCGUAGAUAUAGGAAGGAACAACAGUGGCGAAGGCGACCACCUGGGCUCAUACUGACACUGAGGUGCGAAAGCGUGGGGAGCAAACAGG